rnacentral:rRNA from 1 species
AGAGUUUGAUCCUGGCUCAGGACGAACGCUGGCGGCGCGCCUAACACAUGCAAGUCGAACGAGAGAUGAGGAGCUUGCUCUUCAAAUCGAGUGGCGAACGGGUGAGUAACGCGUGAGGAACCUGCCUCAAAGAGGGGGACAACAGUUGGAAACGACUGCUAAUACCGCAUAAGCCCACGGCUCGGCAUCGAGCAGAGGGAAAAGGAGCAAUCCGCUUUGAGAUGGCCUCGCGUCCGAUUAGCUAGUUGGUGAGGUAACGGCCCACCAAGGCGACGAUCGGUAGCCGGACUGAGAGGUUGAACGGCCACAUUGGGACUGAGACACGGCCCAGACUCCUACGGGAGGCAGCAGUGGGGAAUAUUGCACAAUGGGGGAAACCCUGAUGCAGCGACGCCGCGUGGAGGAAGAAGGUCUUCGGAUUGUAAACUCCUGUUGUUGAGGAAGAUAAUGACGGUACUCAACAAGGAAGUGACGGCUAACUACGUGCCAGCAGCCGCGGUAAAACGUAGGUCACAAGCGUUGUCCGGAAUUACUGGGUGUAAAGGGAGCGCAGGCGGGAGAACAAGUUGGAAGUGAAAUCCAUGGGCUCAACCCAUGAACUGCUUUCAAAACUGUUUUUCUUGAGUAGUGCAGAGGUAGGCGGAAUUCCCGGUGUAGCGGUGGAAUGCGUAGAUAUCGGGAGGAACACCAGUGGCGAAGGCGGCCUACUGGGCACCAACUGACGCUGAGGCUCGAAAGUGUGGGUAGCAAACAGGAUUAGAUACCCUGGUAGUCCACACCGUAAACGAUGAUUACUAGGUGUUGGAGGAUUGACCCCUUCAGUGCCGCAGUUAACACAAUAAGUAAUCCACCUGGGGAGUACGACCGCAAGGUUGAAACUCAAAGGAAU